CCGCCCCCGCCACGCCCCCACCGCCGCACCUCCCCUUCUCCGCCCCUCCCGGGUGCAAGCUGAGCGCCCCACCCGCCCCUGACCUCCCCAGGCCCCUCCUCUGGACCCGCCUCUUCCCGAGAUGGGACCCCUACACACUCCCGGGGGGCUGUCACCGCACCCCACGAGUCCCAUUAGGGCCUCCCGAGUGCAAGUUCACCCAAGUGGUGACUUUUUAGGGACCCUCUUUCUCGUCUCGCAGAGACCUUCUGUGGCUACCCGCCCCCUGUCCAGGCGCUCCGACGUGGCUACUUUGCGGGUUGGGCUGUUAUAAAGGGCUGGAGGCAGCUCGACGCAAACCAGAGACGUGGCGCUUCUCCUAGGCCGGCCUAGGCUCCAGGGCCUGAUUACAGCCGGAGAACGGAACAGGGAGGAGCUGAAGAGAUCACGGUCUGGGAGACAGGAGGACACAGCUGUGGACCACAGUCGGCUUUCCCAGGGAGGCUCCCUAACUGGGGACUUUGAAAUGUAACGAGACUACUAAAUUAUUUUUUAAAAAAAAAAAAUGCCUGGAAUCAUGUUUUCCUGUAUAGAUGAACCCGGUAGAUACUACAGUAACCAUUUGACAAUUUUUCACCCUGGUUUCCAAGAUUGUCUGCCUGAUCCUGUACUUUUUUGUUUGUUUUGUUUUUUGGACAGGGUUUCUCUGUGUAGCCCCUGGCUGUCCUGGAACUCACUCUGUAGCCCAGGCUGGCCUCCAACUCAGAGAUCUGCCUGCCUCUGCCUCCCAAGUGCUGGGAUUAAAGGCCUACGCCACCACUGCCUGGUUAAUCCUAUCCAUUUUAACACAGCUGAACAGAUUACACCAUGAUGGCCACCCGUGGAUGUUUUCACAGAUGAAGGCUCUUGAACUGGAGAGGUUGAGAGAACUUUCAAUGCCUCCUCCAAUCUCUUGGGCUUCACCAAAGCCCCUUAAGGUUUCCUUUGCCCCAAGAAAGCUCCCUCCCCUUCAGUGACCAUACCCUGAAUGAUGUUAAGGAGACUAGACAUCCCUGGAAGCUGUCAUCACACACAAAUACACACACACACACACACACACACACACACACACACACACACACACACACAAAGGAGCAUUAAAGAUUAUGAUACAAAGAUUCUUGGUCCUUAAGGUAACGUUCCAGCUGUUCCACUCUGCUAGGGUGUGUGAGGGACCCUCCAGCAUCACCCCCUCCACAGUCUAACUUCUACCGAGGUUCUAUCUUCACUUCCUAAGGCUGAUCAGAAGGAUGUGACCAUGGAUUUUGUCCCUGGUUAUUCCUAAUGUGACACAGAGUGACCUGCCUCCACCCAACCCAAGUGAGUUCUGCUUACUUAUGACCUCUCAAAUUCAACCUACACUAAGCAGGGCAUUCUUUCACCUCAUAGCCAUGUUCAGCAGCCUGGUUAAGUGUGUGGGCUACGGCAGUAAGUAGCUUCAGGGUGUACCCCGACAUACCCUCAGGAAAAUGUGCUUGCUUUCUGGAUGGGGGUAGACUUCAUCUUCAACAGUUAUGUUUUCCUUGACAUGUUCAAUGAUACUUCAAGUGUUCAGUAGGGCAUCGCAAUUUACUUCUGCUAUAUUUCCAGAAAUCAAAGCAUUCUAGAAAGCUACAAGUAUUUUGUUUAUUGUGGCUGGGUUUCUAGAUAUGUUUUCUGGCAACCCAAUUUCCUUAAGAUGAAGUUGGUGCCCUCGAAGCAGUUCAAGUUGUCUUUUAGAAGCAUGGUAUGGGGAGAAGAAAAAUGCUAAGUUUAAAUGAUUUUUGGAAUAUCUACAGGAAAGGCAGAUGGUUUCUGGCAUGAAGAUAAAGCAUCCUUUUAGUUUCCUUGGAGUUAUUUUCUGACAUCCAGACUCAUAUGUCUUAAGUGUUUAUAAGCAAAGAGUGGCUGUACUUACUUUAGAAAGAUAUUUUGACUUAUUAGCUAAUGUCUUCUACAUUCUCCUGUCUUUGAGAAAUAGGGCUUUGAGGGGACAUAAAUAGUUUCAGAAAUACAUUUUAAACAUAUAUUUAGAUUUUGAAGCACACAUUUCUCUGUCCUGGUUUAUUUCAAUAUUUACCAACUGAAUUUAGCAUAAUGACCUUGGAUUCAAUAAAAGGGACAUUUGUAGAAUUAAACCAAAGGGGGCAUGUCUUCCCAAGCAAAUUAGGAGAAAUAAAGGCUGUUGGGGUCUUGUA